UCCCGUAUCUUAAUUCACCGGUUUACUAGUCAUUUGGACAGUAAACGACAAUUUGAUUUACUUUUACUCUUUUUCGGUAACUUUAGUGGCCCUAAAAGUUGACUUUUUGUUCGGGUCAAAAUUUGAGAAAAUGUUCUUCAUGAAAGUUGUAGAGGACGUUAAACCGAGCGCGUGCAUAUGUGGUACGUAAAAAUCGGAGUUCGUAUGUGAAAGUUAUAAGCGAAAUACUAAAGUUACUGUUCAUAUGGUAAGUUUCUAUAAAUAGCCGAGUUACUGUGGUAAGUUUCCAUUUUCGGAAACUUACCGAGCCCUCUCCCUUCUCUCUCCCCGACCCUCUCUUCCUCUCCGACCUCUUCACCUUCUUCCGGCCAUAACUCCUCCAUCCGGCGACGGAUUUUGACGUAUAAGAUGUCGUUGGAAAGCUCUCUUCCUAUUCUUCAUUUCUGGGUUCGUUUCGUAGCUUAAUAUGAACUGUGGAAGGUGCAGAAACGAGAAGAAGAGGACGGUCACUGUAGCAGUUUUGAGUCAACGCCGAUAUUUUCCGAUUCCGGAAGUCUCCGGCCACCAAACUGGCAUCGAAGGGUUCUUGGGUUUUCUGGGCUUGUGUUCAACGGCCAAAUUGGAGCUCUUCCAGGGCAAUGCCGCGAGCUACGGUUAAAUGGAGGAACUCGUUUGCGUGGUCGCCCAAUAGUACUUUUGCAGGCGAAAUUAGUUGAGGUCGGGUGUACAUGGAGUCGAGGCAUAGCCAACAGCAUUACUUCCGCGUACUCAUUCUAUUUCUGUUUUUCUUUGUUACCUAGUGGAUUAGUAUUGCUCUGAUAACCUAUGGGAUUAAUAUUGUUUUUGGGUUAAGACUGAUAUUUGUGAAAUUGGAGUUGUGAUUUGGGGAGCAGAUGACUCCAGAAGAUUAAGGAUGGAUGAUUUAGAAGUGUAAAUGUUUUCCUACAGGUUUUGGGUAGCCUACUUUUAGGGGAAGUUCCGCCAAAUUUUUGGUAGAAUCUCUUCUAAAGUGGGCCCCGCAGGGCCACUUCGGAUUUCAGGGUGAAAUCUGGGGCGGGUCC